AUCGUGAUGGGGGUGUGUGCAGGAAGAGAGAAGCCGGUACCGCGCAGCCACAGAGGAAAGGUGUGGGGGAGGGAAAGUCCCUAGUACCGCGCAGCCGUGGAGAAAGGUGGGAAUGGGAUGAACAAGAAGCAGUUGCUAUUGCGCAGCUGCAGCAGACCCACGGAGGGGACGGUGAAAUGAGCAAGCAACAGUCGCUAUUGCGCAGCCGCAGUGGCUUGGUGCAGGUGUUCCAGCGGAGAGGUAAACGGCGAAAACAGGUGGAGGAAAGUUGAGCUGGGUUGGGUCGAAAGAUACGGCGUCUGAGGUGACUGAAGAAGGAGGGAAGGUGGAGAAUAAAAAUCCAUCGAGACAUCGACAGUGGACUUUUUCUUGUCGGUUUGAGGUGAAAGCUUAUUGUUUGGCAGGUGUCAGGACACUCCGCAAGACCAACGGUUUUAACGGCUCGACGUUCCAUUAUUUCCAACUUGAGUUCAUUAAAGGGGAAGUGGCGGUUUCUGAUUUUCUUUUGUGACUGGACCGAGUUGCCGGCCGCCGGCAGUUGGACCUUGUUGAUUCACCCCUUUAAGGAGAAGGAAGGCUUUGCCUCCGAGCCCUCCCGGCCUUGUUGCAGCGGUGAAACCCGCACUGCUGCAUGUCUCUGCUGCGGAUGGAGUCCCGUCUAUAAUCGUGCAUCAGGUGUCUGGAUCAUCUACAACUUGUUCGUUGCCGAAUUGUUCGGGUGAUCAGAUCGAAAAUUGCAGUUCUGAGUUCGCUCCCAUACGGUGCAGUUGUAGUUUAUUACGUGUCCUUGUAUGCCUCGAGGAAUCCCUGGUGGUGAGC